UAGGGAAUCUUCCGCAAUGGACGCAAGUCUGACGGAGCAACGCCGCGUGAGUGAAGAAGGAUUUCGGUUCGUAAAACUCUGUUGUUAGAGAAGAACAGCGCAUAGAGUAACUGUUAUGCGUGUGACGGUAUCUAACCAGAAAGCCACGGCUAACUACGUGCCAGCAGCCGCGGUAAUACGUAGGUGGCAAGCGUUGUCCGGAUUUAUUGGGCGUAAAGCGAGCGCAGGCGGUCAAUUAAGUCUGAUGUGAAAGCCCCCGGCUCAACCGGGGAGGGUCAUUGGAAACUGGUUGACUUGAGUGCAGAAGAGGAGAGUGGAAUUCCAUGUGUAGCGGUGAAAUGCGUAGAUAUAUGGAGGAACACCAGUGGCGAAGGCGACUCUCUGGUCUGUAACUGACGCUGAGGCUAGAAAGCGUGGGUAGCAAACAGG
rnacentral:rRNA from 1 species